GAUCUGUUCUGAAUCUCGCAAUUUUGGUGGUGUACCCUGCAACAGCAUGUUUGUUGUUAUGGCUGUUUUACUUUGGUUUAGAAGGCAACCCAGCUAAGAGCUAGAGUUUCAGUGACAUGAAGAGUGUGAAGUGAACCACCUAUCACCACGCUACUGCAAUACUUCAUGACACUUGGAAAUUUAUCCCAACAUGUGGAGGAAUGCUGUUGGUUUCUGUGAAUUCCGUUUUUACAGUUUUGUCAUCAUGAACUUUUCAGUGUGCUUCUUAGAAAAGAGCACUCAGUUUCUUUGUGGAUUCGUGUGGUCCUGGCACGGAUAUUCUUGAGCCAACGCUGGCUUUUGUCCAUGACCAACGUUCUGCUCCAUCCUUAUCUUCCCGAUGUAUCCAGCUCAUCCAGCUUCUGCUUCAUCGCUUCGUACACAAAAAUACAACUUGUCUUACUUCACUGUUGAGUACUCGAGUUGGAACACUUCAGCGGUCGCUUCCGUGCCGCUGUUACACACCUGCAGUCACUCACCACGGAAUUAUGCCCAGGUACCCGACAAUUUACUUAUUUUCGUAGAUUAUCUAUUCUAAUAGUAUACUUACUUGUGUCUGUAAUAAUUCCGAAAUCAGGCCCUACUUGCGCGCAAACGUAUUGUUUCUUAGACGUUUU